UACAGAGGGUGCGAGCGUUGUCCGGAAUCACUGGGCGUAAAGGGCGCGUAGGCGGCUGGAUAAGUCGCGUGUGAAAUCCCGGGGCUCAACCCCGGAACGGCACGCGGGACUGUCCGGCUAGAGAAUGGUAGAGGCAAGUGGAAUUCCUGGUGUAGCGGUGGAAUGCGUAGAGAUCAGGAGGAACACCGGUGGCGAAGGCGGCUUGCUGGGCCAUUUCUGACGCUGAGGCGCGAAAGCGUGGGGAGCAAACAGG
rnacentral:rRNA from 1 species